rnacentral:misc_RNA from 1 species
UAAUAAGUGUUUUAUGGGCACUUUUUUAAAUCCAUAUCCACCGUGUGUGCAAUGUCAGUCGAUCUUCUUCAUGGAGAUCGACCAAACAUCAACCUUUAUUUUUUUAACCUCUUUGUCUGAAAAAUAUUAUGAAUAAACAAUUCAAAAAUAC